UAAUACAGAGGGUGCAAGCGUUAUUCGGAAUUAUUGGGCAUAAAGCGCAUGUAGGUGGUUUGAUAAGUCUGAUGUGAAAUCCCCGGACUCAAUUCGGGAAGUGCAUUGGAUACUGUCAGGCUAGAGUAUGGGAGAGGUGAGCGGAAUUCCAGGUGUAGAGGUGAAAUUCGUAGAUAUCUGGAGGAACAACAGAGGCGAAGGCGGCUCACUGGACCAUUACUGACACUGAGAUGCGAAAGCGUGGGGAGCAAACAGGAUUAGAUACCCUGGUAGUCCACGCCGUAAACGAUGGAUACUAGAUGUCGGUAGGUCUUACCCUAUCGGUAUCGUAGCUAAUGCGUUAAGUAUCCCGCCUGAGGAGUACGGUCGCAAGAUUA
rnacentral:rRNA from 1 species